rnacentral:pre_miRNA from 13 species
UGAUCUGUUUUGAACAGAUUCUCAUUUAGUUGUGUCAGAUUUAUACUUGACUGCUCAAAAUCAUCUAUUAUUGCAAGCCUAACCACAUCAUUGACAUUGAAAAACAGAGGACAACUACCAUGUAAAUAAUAAUUUUUUGAGAUU